UAUCAAAUUCUUCUUCUCAAAAGAGUGAGGAAGAAACAGUGAAAGAAGUGCUCUCUGAAACUCCCACUGUUCCGAAAUCAAAACUCUAUGCUGAUGAAAAUAAUAGUCCCAAAAAAUCAUCACCCAUCUCGAAAUUUUCCAAUUCAAUGGAAGAAAAAUACCAUAAAAAUCACAUUAGGAAGAAACCCAUUACCCCUGAUUUCAACCACCCAGAUGAUGUUUCCGAAGAAUUAUCCGAGAUCUGUAGCAGUACUCUCAGUGAGGCAGCAAUGGUUACAGAAAAGCGAUAUGCAGUUGAAGAUGACGUUAACGAAGUCCGGCAGCGGUCACCGG
rnacentral:misc_RNA from 1 species